rnacentral:rRNA from 1 species
UGAUCAUGGCUCAGAAUCAACGCUGGCGGCGUGCCUAACACAUGCAAGUCGCACGAGAAAGGGUAGCAAUAUCUGAGUAAAGUGGCGCACGGGUGAGUAACACGUGAAUGAUCUACCUCCGAGUGGGGAAUAACUGAGAGAAAUCUUAGCUAAUACCGCAUAACACUUACGAGUCAAAGCAGCAAUGCGCUUGGAGAGGAGUUCGCGGCAGAUUAGUUAGUUGGCAGGGUAAUGGCCUACCAAGACGAUGAUCUGUAUCCGGCCUGAGAGGGCGCACGGACACACUGGAACUGAAACACGGUCCAGACUCCUACGGGAGGCAGCAGUGGGGAAUUUUGCGCAAUGGGGGAAACCCUGACGCAGCAACGCCGCGUGGAGGAUGAAAUCCCUUGGGAUGUAAACUCCUUUCGAUAGGGAAGAUUAUGCCGG